rnacentral:rRNA from 1 species
AUUGAACGCUGGCGGCAGGCCUAGCACAUGCAAGUCGAACGGUAACAGGAAACAGCUUGCUGUUUCGCUGACGAGUGGCGGACGGGUGAGAAAUGUCUGGGAAACUGCCUGAUGGAGGGGGAUAACUACUGGAAACGGUAGCUAAUACCGCAUAACGUCGCAAGACCAAAGAGGGGGACCUUCGGGCCUCUUGCCAUCGGAUGUGCCCAGAUGGGAUUAGCUAGUAGGUGGGGUAACGGCUCACCUAGGCGACGAUCCCUAGCUGGUCUGAGAGGAUGACCAGCCACACUGGAACUGAGACACGGUCCAGACUCCUACGGGAGGCAGCAGUGGGGAAUAUUGCACAAUGGGCGCAAGCCUGAUGCAGCCAUGCCGCGUGUAUGAAGAAGGCCUUCGGGUUGUAAAGUACUUUCAGCGGGGAGGAAGGCAGUGAAGUUAAUACCUUCACUCAUUGACGUUACCCGCAGAAGAAGCACCGGCUAACUCCGUG